rnacentral:rRNA from 1 species
CGGAGCCGAAGCGAGAGCGAGUCUGAAUAGGGCGGAAGUCUCUGGGAUUAGACCCGAAACCACAGUGAUCUAUGCAUGGCCAGGUUGAAGCUCAGGUAAAAAUGAGUGGAGGACCGAACCCGUGAGUGUUGAAAAACUUUGGGAUGAGCUGUGCAUAGGGGUGAAAUGCCAAUCGAACGUGGAGAUAGCUGGUUCUCCCCGAAAUAGCUUUAGGGCUAGCCUCAGGUAACACAUGGAGACGGUAGAGCACUGAUCGGGUAAGGGAGCGUAAAGCUUACCGAGCCUAGUCAAACUGCGAAUGGCUUCAUGAGAAGAGCCUGGGAGUCAGAAUGCGAGUGAUAAGACCCGUAUUCAAAAGGGAAACAGCCCAGACCGCCGACUAAGGUCCCGAAUGCUGUACUAAGUGGAAAAGGAUGUAGGACUUCCAAAACAACCAGGAUGUUGGCUCAGAAGCAGCCACCAUUCAAAGAGUGCGUAAUAGCUCACUGGUCGAGAGGCCCUGCGCCGAAAAUAUCCGGGGCUCAAGUACAGAACCGAAGUCGCGGCAUGCGCAAGCAUGGGUAGGGGAGCGUUCCAAGUUGGUUGAAGGCGGACCAUAAGGACAGCUGGACGACUUGGAAGUGAGAAUGCUGGUAUGAGUAGCGAAACGAUCCGUGAGAAUCGGAUCCACCGAAAGCCUAAGGGAUCCUGAGCAACGCUCGUCGACUCAGGGUAAGUCGGGACCUAAGCCGAGGCAUAAAGCAUAGGCGAUGGACAACAGGCGAAAAUUCCUGUACUGCAUGAUGUUGUUUGAGGAUGGAGUGACACAGCAAGGAGCUUGAGCGCGCGACUGGAAAUGCGCGUCGAAGGCGGUAGGCUGUAGGAGAGGCAAAUCCCUCCUGCAAGGCCGAGAACUGAUAGAUAGGAGCGUACUUCGGUACAAUCCAAAUUCAAGCGUACUACACUGUCGAGAAAAGCUUCUAACGAGACAUCAUGUACCCGUACCAAAACCGACACAGGUAGGCGGGGAGAGAAUCCUAAGGUGCGCGGGAAAACCCUCGUUAAGGAACUCGGCAAAAUGCAUCCGUAACUUCGGGAGAAGGAUGGCCGGAGCUGGUGAAGACCUUGCGGUUGGAGCUGGAGCCGGCGGCAGAAGAGAAGCCCAAGCGACUGUUUACCACAAACACAGGUGCCUGCUAAAGAGAAAUCUGACGUAUAGGUGCUGACACCUGCCCGGUGCUGGAAGGUUAAGAGGAGAGGUUAUUCGCAAGAAGAAGCUUUGAAUUGAAGCCCCAGUAAACGGCGGCCGUAACUAUAACGGUCCUAAGGUAGCGAAAUUCCUUGUCGGGUAAGUUCCGACCCGCACGAAAGGUGUAACGA